rnacentral:tRNA from 12 species
GGGCCUGUAGCUCAGUUGGGAGAGCGUUCGGUUCGCAUCCGAGAGGUCGAGAGUUCGAAUCUCUUCAGGUCCACCA